UGGGGAAUAUUGGACAAUGGGGGGAAUCCUGAUCCAGCAAUGCCGCGUGAGUGAAGAAGGCCUUCGGGUUGUAAAGCUCUUUUGUCAGGGAAGAAACGGUAGUAGCGAAUAACUACUACUAAUGACGGUACCUGAAGAAUAAGCACCGGCUAACUACGUGCCAGCAGCCGCGGUAAUACGUAGGGUGCAAGCGUUAAUCGGAAUUACUGGGCGUAAAGCGUGCGCAGGCGGUUGUGUAAGUCAGAUGUGAAAUCCCCGGGCUCAACCUGGGAAUUGCAUUUGAGACUGCACGGCUAGAGUGUGUCAGAGGGGGGUAGAAUUCCACGUGUAGCAGUGAAAUGCGUAGAUAUGUGGAGGAAUACCGAUGGCGAAGGCAGCCCCCUGGGAUAACACUGACGCUCAUGCACGAAAGCGUGGGGAGCAAACAGGAUUAGAUACCCAAGUAGUCCCUGAGCGGGCUGGCAAGGCGCAU
rnacentral:rRNA from 1 species